rnacentral:rRNA from 1 species
CCUACGGGUGGCAGCAGUGGGGAAUAUUGGACAAUGGGCGAAAGCCUGAUCCAGCCAUGCCGCGUGUGUGAAGAAGGCCUUCGGGUUGUAAAGCACUUUCAGUGGGGAAGAAAGCCUUGGGGCUAAUACCCUCGAGGAAGGACAUCACCCACAGAAGAAGCACCGGCUAACUCCGUGCCAGCAGCCGCGGUAAUACGGAGGGUGCGAGCGUUAAUCGGAAUUACUGGGCGUAAAGCGCGCGUAGGCGGUCUGAUAAGCCGGUUGUGAAAGCCCCGGGCUCAACCUGGGAACGGCAUCCGGAACUGACAGGCUAGGGUGCAGGAGAGGGAGGUAGAAUUCCCGGUGUAGCGGUGAAAUGCGUAGAGAUCGGGAGGAAUACCAGUGGCGAAGGCGGCCUUCUGGACUAACACUGACGCUGAGGUGCGAAAGCGUGGGUAGCAAACAGGAUUAGAUACCCCGUAGUC